AUUGAACGCUGGCGGCGUGCCUAAUACAUGCAAGUCGAGCGAAUGGAUUAAGAGCUUGCUCUUAUGAAGUUAGCGGCGGACGGGUGAGUAACACGUGGGUAACCUGCCCAUAAGACUAGGAUAACUCCGGGAAACCGGGGCUAAUACCGGAUAACAUUUUGAACCGCAUGGUUCGAAAUUGAAAGGCGGCUUCGGCUGUCACUUAUGGAUGGACCCGCGUCGCAUUAGCUAGUUGGUGAGGUAACGGCUCACCAAGGCAACGAUGCGUAGCCGACCUGAGAGGGUGAUCGGCCACACUGGGACUGAGACACGGCCCAGACUCCUACGGGAGGCAGCAGUAGGGAAUCUUCCGCAAUGGACGAAAGUCUGACGGAGCAACGCCGCGUGAGCGAUGAAGGCUUUCGGGUCGUAAAACUCUGUUGUUAGGGAAGAACAAGUGCUAGUUGAAUAAGCUGGCACCUUGACGGUACCUAACCAGAAAGCCACGGCUAACUACGUGCCAGCCGCCGCAGUAA
rnacentral:rRNA from 1 species